rnacentral:rRNA from 1 species
AUGCGCAAGGGUCUAUCCCUCCUCAUCAUCCUUUCUGUUUGGUGAAUGUGGAAGCACCGCAACGCCUGCAUAUUUGACGGAGCGACACCAUCAGUCACCUUCACCUUCGAGACCAUCAAGGACGAGGCGCGCCUAUGGGCCAAGGCAGGCGCCACCGGACUACAACACAUUCUCCCCGGCGCUUAG